CACGUAGUUAGCCGGGGCUUCCUCCUCAAGUACCGUCAUUAUCUUCCUUGAGGACAGAGCUUUACGACCCGAAGGCCUUCAUCGCUCACGCGGCGUUGCUGCAUCAGGCUUUCGCCCAUUGUGCAAUAUUCCCCACUGCUGCCUCCCGUAGGAGUCUGGACCGUGUCUCAGUUCCAGUGUGGCCGAUCACCCUCUCAGGUCGGCUACUGAUCGUCGCCUUGGUAAGCCGUUACCUUACCAACUAGCUAAUCAGACGCAGGUCCAUCCUGUACCGCCGGAGCUUUGAUAUAAAAGCCAUGCGACUUUCAUAUGUCAUCCCGUAUUAGCAUACCUUUCGGUAUGUUAUCCGUGUGUACAGGGCAGGUUACCCACGCGUUACUCACCCGUCCGCCGCUCUCUUCCGAAGAAGAUCGCUCGACUUGCAUGUGUUAGGCACGCCGCCAGCGUUCAUCCUGAGCCAGGAUCAAACUC
rnacentral:rRNA from 1 species